GAUGAACGCUGGCGGCGUGCCUAAUACAUGCAAGUCGAGCGAACAGAUGAGGAGCUUGCUCCUCUGACGUUAGCGGCGGACGGGUGAGUAACACGUGGAUAACCUACCUAUAAGACUGGGAUAACUUCGGGAAACCGGAGCUAAUACCGGAUAAUAUAUUGAACCGCAUGGUUCAAUAGUGAAAGACGGUUUUGCUGUCACUUAUAGAUGGAUCCGCGCCGCAUUAGCUAGUUGGUAAGGUAACGGCUUACCAAGGCAACGAUGCGUAGCCGACCUGAGAGGGUGAUCAGCCACACUGGAACCGAGACACGGUCCAGACUCCUACGGGAGGCAGCAGUAGGGAAUCUUGCGCAAUGGGCGAAAGCCUGACGGAGCAACGCCGCGUGAGUGAUGAAGGUCUUCGGAUCGUAAAACUCUGUUAUUAGGGAAGAACAAAUGUGUAAGUAACUAUGCACGUCUUGACGGUACCUAAUCAGAAAGCCACGGCUAACUACGUG
rnacentral:rRNA from 1 species